rnacentral:rRNA from 1 species
GAUGAACGCUGGCGGCGUGCCUAAUACAUGCAAGUCGAGCGAACGGACGAGAAGCUUGCUUCUCUGAUGUUAGCGGCGGACGGGUGAGUAACACGUGGAUAACCUACCUAUAAGACUGGGAUAACUUCGGGAAACCGGAGCUAAUACCGGAUAAUAUUCUGAACCGCAUGGUUCAAAAGUGAAAGACGGUCUUGCUGUCACUUAUAGAUGGAUCCGCGCUGCAUUAGCUAGUUGGUAAGGUAACGGCUUACCAAGGCAACGAUGCAUAGCCGACCUGAGAGGGUGAUCGGCCACACUGGAACUGAGACACGGUCCAGACUCCUACGGGAGGCAGCAGUAGGGAAUCUUCCGCAAAGGGCGAAAGCCUGACGGAGCAACGCCGCGUGAGUGAUGAAGGUCUUCGGAUCGUAAAACUCUGUUAUUAGGGAAGAACAUAUGUGUAAGUAACUGUGCACAUCUUGACGGUACCUAAUCAGAAAGCCACGGCUAACUACGUG